GAAAUCGUACUAUACAGAAUCAUUUCUGUAGUGUGUGUUUCGCUGUCCCAACCAAAGGGCGACACCUGUCCACCGCGAUGAACGGGAGACGGGCGAGUUGCGAGCGGGAAGAACGCGCCUAUGCGCUGAGGACCGUGAGGUGCCCUUCGGGGAGCCUCAGCGACUCGCUCUUCUGAGCGGU
rfam:Nippostrongylus brasiliensis genome assembly, scaffold: NBR_scaffold0000105